rnacentral:sRNA from 1 species
GACCAGCCGAAAGGUCGGCCAGCCGCCU